GCAGCCUACAUCAGCAACUGGGGCACAAUGCUACGUGUGGAGUGCACCUGUCAGAAUUCACCACCGGCAGAACAGUCGCUGUGCAAGCUCUUCCAUCACAUGCUGCACAGCACGUCCUGCUUCAGUCAGCUACGUCAAAUUUCAGUUAGGAAAGGUUUUCAUUGGCUGAAUACAGAAAUACCAGGAGAAAAGCUUUCCAGAACACAACUGCAUUCAUCUUCAAUUAAUGGUGAAACAGUCUACAUUAUUGCCUAUUCCUCCUGCAUAGUUCUCAUCCUAGGAAUAGUCCUGUUGACUCUCCUAAAGAUCAGAGCCUGCAGAACAAAACACGAGUCAAGAAGUCCCUCGCCAGAUCAUUCUUCUGAAACAUUUAUGGUCCAUUAUAAAAGUCACAGAUGAAUUACUUUGUUGCUUAUGCUUUUUAAGGCUACUCUUGAAAGCCAGCCUGUUGUACAUAUGCGGUAAUAAAAUAUAUAAUAGAAAACUUACUAUAAAUUAC
rnacentral:lncRNA from 1 species